rnacentral:misc_RNA from 1 species
AUGAAAUCCAAAUCCAAAUCCAAUUUCAACCAAGAACGAUCAUAAACAGUGGCCGGUCAACCAGAUCUGAUCUCCGCCAUGGAUUUACCUCCAUUUCUUUACCACCAACGCGAUCAAUCCAGGUACAUCUCUCCUCCUUCCUCCGCCCCUCUUCCUCACCCUUUUUUCCCGGACGACCCCAAUUUCCACUUCCCUCCCAAUCACCACCACCUUCUUCAUAAUCAUCCCGAUCAACCACUAGAUUUCCCUCUCCCGCCACCGCCGCCACCACCGCCGUCGUCCUACCGUCAUCUUCCCAUUCAUACACCCCCAUCACCCGCGCCUCCGGUUGGUUAUAAUCCCUCUCAACCCCAAUUUGUUGUUUCUUCGUCAAAUCACG